CCCCCCCCCCCCCCCCCCCCCCCCCCCCGCCUCUCUCUCUGCAACGGCAAACUACAAAAUCUACAAGAAUCAGAAGUUCAAAACCCAUAUAUUUCAGUAUAUCUAUCUGUCAAAUUAGGGUAAGUGAGGCGUUUGAGAGCAGAUCUGAAAUGGGGAUGAUGUUUUCCAAAAAUCUAUGGGGGAUUGAUUGGUUGGCAGGGAAGCAUUAUAUACAUAUAUGUUGUAAUUGUUUGCUUCCCUACUCCACCCAUUCCUAUGGUUUUCGGUGUUCUCUUUCUUUUCUUAUUCAGUUUUGUCAUCUCUUUUACACACACUCACACACACACACACACACACACACACACACACACACGUAUAUAUAUGUAUGUAUAUAUUGUUUAUAUUUCAGUAUAUCUAUCUGUCUGCAAGAAUCGAAAGUUCAAAACCUAUUACCUAUAUCAAAACCCAUAUCGGCAUAUCAUUUCGGAUUGUUCAAAAAAUCAAAACCCAUAUCUUUCAGUUUCCAUCGCCCACUGUUACAGUUCGGGUUUGCCGUUCGCAAACUUCAGCCGCUGGCCCGCUGUCUCUCAACUCUCAAGCUAUGGAAAAAGAAUGAGGCUCAUUCAGAGGGAUGGGAUGUUUCUAAGGGUGGUUGCCCCUCUCUGUAAACGAUGAUCUCCUACAAAAUAAGGGAUGUGAGAUCAUCUAGAGCCAAUGAUUUCAUUUCCUACAGAAUCAACAGCCCUUUGUGUGUGUGUGUGUGUGUGUAUAUAUUUGUGUGUGUGCGUGCGUGUGCUGGACUGGUGCAUCUCCAGUCCUUGUUCUUCCAUCAUCAUCAAUCAUCAUUAUAAGAGGCUGUGAUGAUAUAUGUUCUGAGUGGAUCAUACUGGCGUUGAGAAUCGGAUCCGUUUGUUGGCGGGGCAAACCAGAGGGUCUGUGAGAGAGAUUUGGUUCUUCUCUCACAGGCAACUGUUGUUGCAGCCAGGGCGUGGGAUAUACUCUUGCCCUGAUCAAAAGCAGAUCUGAGCCUCAAUUGUAAUCAAGUGUAUUUUAUUGAAAAAUUUCAAAAAAAAAACUCUGAACUUAUGUUGCUUAUAUUUCAGUAUAUCUGUCUGUCUGCGAGAAUCAAAAGUUCAAAACCUAUUACCUAUAUCAAAACCCAUAUCAGCAUAUCAUUUCAGAUUGUUCAAAAAAUCAAAACCAUAUCUUUCAGUUUCCAUCGCCCGCUGUUCCAGUUCGGGUUCACCGUUCGCAAGCUUCAGCUGCUGGCCCACUGUCUCUCAACUCUCAAGCUAUGGAAAAAGAAUGAGGCUCGUUCAGAGGGAUGGGAUGUUUCUAAGGGUGGUUGCCCCUCUCUGUAAACGAUGGUCUCCUACAAAAUAAGGGAUGUGAGAUCAUCUAGAGCCAAUGAUUUCAUUUCCUACAGAAUCAACAGCCCUUUGUGUGUAGUGUGUGUGUGUGUAUAUAUAUAUAUAUUUUUUUUUUGUGUGCGCGCGCGCAUGCUGGACUGGUGCAUCUCCAAUCCUUCUUCUUCUUCUUCCAUCAUCAUCAUCAAUCAUCAUCAUCAAUCAUCAUCAAUCAUCAUUAUAAGAGGCUGUGAUGAUAUAUGUUCUGAGUGGAUCAUACUGGCAUUGAGAAUCGGAUCCGUUUGUUGGCGGGGCAAACCAGGGGUCUGUGGGAGUGAGAUUUGGUUCUUCUCUCACAGGCAACUGUUGUUGCAGCCAGGGUGGUGGGAUAUACUCUUGCCCUGAUCAAAAGCAGAUCUGAGCCUCAAUUGUAGUCAAGUGUAUUUUAUUGAAAAUUUUCAAAAAAAAAAAAACUCUGACCUAUAUAUUAAAAUAUAUAUAUAUAUAUAUAUAUAUAUAUAUAUUUCUAUUUGGUGAAAUUUUUUAUGAUCUUUUUUAGGAACAAAAUUUGCAUAGCAAUUUUAGGUAAUCAUCGUAAUCUACAUUUUAUUUCAGCAAAACAAAUAUAUAUAUUUUUUAUUUCUAUAUAUUUCUGUUUUUAUUAUUUUUUUUUUUUGGGUUGUGAAUUAUGUCUACAAGAAAUUUGAAUCUGGGCAUGAAAAAAGAAAAAAAGAAAAGAAAAAAAAGAAUCUGAAUUGGAUUAGAAAUCUGCAGAGAUUGAAUCUGAAAGAAUUUUUAUCAACAUGCCAAGCGUUUUGAAGACGGAAAUCUUUUCAGAACUAAAAAAAAAAUCAAAACAAGAAGUUUGACAGGCAAAAGUAAUUAAUAUAGGGUAAAGUUACUUCUUGAAAAUUAAAAUACUUAUAGAAAGCAUGCUUUUGAGUUAUUUCCGUAGUGUUGGAAGGGGCUUGCCAUGAACUACCUCACACUCUGCUUCCACUCGUAGAUUCUCAAAUAGGAUUAGUAAAUUGGUCAAAAGAAGAGAUAGGGUACUGAGUGGUGAAUUGUUCAGAAAUAAAUUGGUAAUUUUUUUUUUUUUUAAUUACCCAAAUAGGAUUUUCUAUGCUUUAAUCAGUCAAUUGUCUAAAGAAACAUUGUUAAUUAACUAAAAUUGAAUUAAACAACAGUUGAUUUUGGUUGAUAUAUGGUUAUUUUGCCCACCCCAUUGAGAAAUCCUGGAUCUAUAUAUAUAUAUAUAUAUUUAUAUAUGCAGUGGGUUGCUAUAAAUCACAACCACUCUCUAUCAGCCAACAGUUCGUCGACGCCUUGCAAAGCGGUGGCCGACCGCCACAUAGGUCAUGGAAGAAGCUUCUGUAGGCAAUUACCAGUUGAACUGUGUUUAAGAAAGUUGUUGGACUGAGCGGUGUCGGUAAUAGGAUCUGGAUCCGCUAGCCCUCCUCUGGAUGAGUCCCCACUAGGGGGAAAGGGAUUUCUGAAGGGGCUUCAUCAGUCGGGUGUUUUUUGACAAACCCAGCUACAAGGCUCGAUUGAUCCACGAACCCAAAAUAUCAAGGUAGGACUGGUGUUGGCAUUUGGCAUUCAACUGAAGUAGGGCAUUUCAACCAGGGCCGGCCCUGACCCAAGGCGACAAAGGUGGUCGCCUAGUGCCUCAAAAUUUAAAGGCCCGUGGAUGAUGGGCCACCAGAAAAAAAUAAAUAAAUAAAUAAAAAUAAAAAAUAAAAUAAAAUUUUAGGGCAAAUUAUUUCAGCCUCCCCAAUCGCCUCCAUCUCUAUUCUCGUUCUCAACUCUAAACUUGCCCCCUCUCUCUCUCUCUCUCUCUAUCUCUCCAACUGCAAACUACAAAAUCUACAAGAAUCAGAAGUUCAAAACCCAUGUAUUUCAGUUUAUCUCUCUGUCUGCAAGAAUCAAAAGUUGAAAACCUAUUACCUAUAUCAAAACCCCAUAUCGGCAUAUCAUUUCAGAUUGUUCAAAAAAUCCAAACCCAUAUCUUUCAGUUUCCAUUGCCCGCUGUUCCAGUUCGGGUUCGCCGUUCGCAAGCUUCAGCCGGUGUCUCUCAACUCUCAAGCUUCCCCCCCCAAUAUCUUUCAGUUUCCAUUGCCCGCUGUUCCAGUUCGGGUUCGCCGUUCGCAAGCUUCAGCCGGUGUCUCUCAACUCUCAAGCUUCCCCCCCCCCCCCCCCCCCCCCCCCCCCCCCCGCAACUGCUAACUUGUAUGUAUGGGUUUUGUUUUCUAUUUGGUGAAAUUUUUUAUGAUCUUUUUUAUAUAAUUUUUUUUUUUUUACAAUAUAAAGUAACAAAAUUUGCAUUGCAUUUUGAGGUAAUCACCGUAAUCUACAUUUUAUUUCAAUAUAUAUAUAUAUAUCAAUAUUUUUAGGGCAAAUCAUUUCGGCCUCCCCAAUCGCCUCCAUCUCUAUUCUCGUUCUCAACUCUGAACUUGCACUGCACUCGGAAAAAGAAUGAGGCUCGUUCAGAGGGAUGGGAUGUUUCUAAGGGUGGUUGCCCCUCUCUGUAAACGAUGAUCUCCUACAAAAUAAGGGAUGUGAGAUCAUCUAGAGCCAAUGAUUUCAUUUCCUACAGAAUCAACAGCCCUUUGUGUGUGUGUGUGUGUGUAUUUGUGUGUGCGCGUGCUGGACUGGUGCAUCUCCAAUCCUUCUUCUUCCAUCAUCAUCAUCAUUCAUCAUUAUAAGAGGCUGUGAUGAUAUAUGUUCUGAGUGGAUCAUACUGGUGUUGAGAAUUGGAUCCGUUUGUUGGCAGGGCAAAUCAGAGGGUCUGUGGGAGAGAGAUGUGGUUCUUCUCUCACAGGCAACUGUUGUUGCAGCCAGGGCGGUGGGAUAUACUCUUGCCCUGAUCAAAAGCAGAUCUGAGCCUCAAUUGUAGUCAAGUGUAUUUUAUUGCAAAAUUUCAAAAAGAAAAAAAUAAAAAUAAAAAACACUCUGAACUUGCCCCCCUCUCUGUGCAACGGCGAACUACAAAAUCUACAAUAAUCAGAAGUUCAAAACCCAUAUAUUUCAGUAUAUUUAUCUGUCAAAUUUGGGUAAGUGAGGCGUUUGAGAGCAGAUCUGAAACGGGGAUGAUGUUUUUCGAAAAUCUACGGGGGAUUGGUUGGCAGGAAAGCAUUAUAUACAUAUAUGUUGUAAUUGUUUGCUUCCCUACUCCACCCAUUCCUAUGGUUUUCAGUGUUCUCUUUCUUUUCUUAGUCAGUUUCAUCAUCUCUUUUACACACACUCAAACACACACACACACGUAUAUGUAUGUAUGUAUAUAUUGUUUAUAUUUCAGUGUAUCUAUCUGUCUGCAAGAAUCAAAAGUUAAAAACCUAUUACCUAUAUCAAAACCCAUAUCGGCAUAUCAUUUCAGAUUGUUCAAAAAAUCAAAACCCAUAUCUUUCAGUUUCCAUCGCCCGCUGUUCCAGUUCGGGUUCGCCGUUCGCAAGCUUCAGCCGCUGGCCCGCUGUCUCUCAACUCUCAAGCUAUGGAAAAAGAAUGAGGCUCGUUCAGAGGGAUGGGUUGUUUCUAAGGGUGGUUGCCCGUCUCUGUAAACGAUGAUCUCCUACAAAAUAAAGGAUAUGAGAUCAUCUAGAGCCAAUGAUUUCAUUUCCUACAGAAUCAGCAGCCCUUUGUGUGUAGUGUAUAUAUAUAUUUUUUUGUGUGCGCGCGUGCGUGCUGGACUGGUGCAUCUGCAGUCCUUCUUCAUCUUCUUCCAUCAUCAUCAUCAUCAUCAUCAUCAUCAUCAAUCAUCAUUAUAAGAGGCUGUGAUGAUAUAUGUUCUGAGUGGAUCAUACUGGCAUUGAGAAUCAGAUGUUUUGUUGGCAGGGCAAACCAGAGGGUCUGUGGGAGAGAGAUUUGGUUCUUCUCUCACAGGCAACUGUUGUUGCACCAGGGUGGUGGGAUAUACUCUUGCCCUGAUCAAAAGCAGAUCUAAGCCUCAAUUGUAGUCAAGUGUAUUUUAUUGAAAAUUUUCAAAAAAAAAAUCUCUGAUCUUUAUAUUUUUAAAAAUAUAUAUAUAUAUUUUUCUAUUUGGUGAAAUUUUUUAUGAUCUUUCUUAUAUAAUUUUUUUUUUUUUACAAUAUAAAGUAACAAAAUUUGCAUAGCAUUUUGAGGUAAUCAUCGUAAUCUACAUUUUAUUUUAGCAAAGCAAAUAUAUAUAUAUUUUAUUUUAGCAAAGCAAAUAUAUAUAUAUUUUAUUUAUAUAACUUCUAUUGUUUUUUUUUUUUUUUUGGUUGUCAAUUAUGUCCACAAGAAAUUUGAAUCUGGGCAUGAAAAAAGAAAAAAAAAAAAAAAAGAAUCUGAAUUGGAUUAGAAAUCUGCUGAGAUUGAAUCUGAAACAAUUUUUAUCAACAUGCCAAGCUUUUUGAAGACGGAAAUCUUUUCAGAACUAAAAAAAAAAAAAAUCAUAACAAGAACUUUGACAGGCAAAAGUAGUUAAUUUAGGGUAAAGUUACUUCUUGAAAAUUAAAAUACUUACAGAAAGCAUGCUUUUGAGUGAAUUCCAUAGUGUUGGAAGGGGCUUGCCAUGAACUACCUCACACUCUGCUUCCAGUCGUAGAUUCUCAAAUAGGAUUGGUAAAUUGGUCAAAAGAAGAGAUAGGGUACUGAGUGGUGAAUUGUUCAGAAAUAAAUUGGUAAUUUUUUUUUAAUUACCCAAAUAGGAUUUUCUAUGCAUUAAUCAGUCAAUUGUCUAAAGAAACGUUGUUAAUUAACUAAAAUUGAAUUAAACAGUUGAUUUUGGUUGAUAUAUGUUUAUUUAGCCCACCCCAUUGAGAAAUCCUGGAUCUCUCUCUCUCUCUCUCUCUCUCUCUCUCUCUCUCUAUAUAUAUAUAUAUAUAUAUAUAUAUAUACAGUGGGUUGCUAUAAAUCACAACUACUCUCUAUCAGCCAACAGUUCGUCGACGCCUUGCAAAGCGGUGGCUGACCGCCACAUAGGUCAUGGAAGAAGCUUCUGUAGGCAAUUACCAGUUGAACUGUGUGGAAGAAAGUUGUUGGACUGAGCGGUGUCGGUAAUAGGAUCUGGAUCCGCUAGCCCUCCUCUGGAUAAGUCCCCACUAGGAGGAAAGGGUUAUCUGAAGGGGCUUCAUCAGUCGGGUGUUUUAUGACAAACCCAGCUACGAGGCUCGAUUGAUCCACGAAUCCAAGGUAGGACUAGUGUUGGCAUUUGGCAUUCAACUGAAGUAGGGCAUUUCAACACUGUUUCAGUUUCCUUGUUUAAUUUGGUGUAUGUAGUACUUUUUCUUAUCGUGUAUGUUUGUACCAGAUCAAUGUGGUGAGGAUUGUACACCACCAUAUCAUGAUGUAUGUAGUACUUUGUGUCAAAUCAUGGCAUUCAAUGUGUUGAAAGUAGGGCUGCAAGAACCUAGCCCAGUCCCAACUCAAUGUGAAAAAAAUUUGGGCUCUGACAGUAAUCCAAGCCUGAGUGUGUUCGGGUUGA